rnacentral:rRNA from 1 species
UGAGGAAUAUUGGUCAAUGGGCGGUAGCCUGAACCAGCCAAGUAGCGUGCAGGAUGACGGCCCUAUGGGUUGUAAACUGCUUUUAUGCGGGGAUAAAGUCACCCACGUGUGGGUGUUUGCAGGUACCGCAUGAAUAAGGACCGGCUAAUUCCGUGCCAGCAGCCGCGGUAAUACGGAAGGUCCGGGCGUUAUCCGGAUUUAUUGGGUUUAAAGGGAGCGUAGGCUGUCUAUUAAGCGUGUUGUGAAAUAUACCGGCUCAACCGGUGGCUUGCAGCGCGAACUGGUCGACUUGAGUAUGCAGGAAGUAGGCGGAAUUCGUGGUGUAGCGGUGAAAUGCUUAGAUAUCAUGACGAACUCCGAUUGCGCAGGCAGCUUACUGUAGCAUAACUGACGCUGAUGCUCGAAAGUGCGGGUAUCAAACAGG